rnacentral:rRNA from 1 species
CCUACGGGUGGCAGCAGUAGGGAAUCUUCCUCAAUGGGCGCAAGCCUGACGGAGCAACGCCGCGUGAGUGAUGAAGGUCUUCGGCUCGUAAAACUCUGUUUUUGGGGAAGAACAUACGUGAGAGUAACUGUUCACGCAGUGACGGUACCUAACCAGAACGGCACGGCUAACUACGUGCCAGCAGCCGCGGUAAUACGUAGGUGGCAAGCGUUAUCCGGAGUUAUUGGGCGUAAAGCGCGCGCAGGCGGUUGUUUAGGUCUGAUGUGAAAGCCUACGGCUCAACCGACGAAGGGCAUUGGAAACUGGAAGACUUGAGUGCAGAAGAGGAAAGUGGAACUCGAGGUGUAGCGGUGGAAUGCGCAGAGAUAUGGAGGAACACCAGUGGCGAAGGCGGCUUUCUGGUCUGCAACUGACGCUGAGGCGCGAAAGCGUGGGUAUCGAACAGGAUUAGAUACCCGUGUAGUC